rnacentral:rRNA from 1 species
AACGAACGCUGGCGGCAUGCCUAACACAUGCAAGUCGAACGAGACCUUCGGGUCUAGUUGCGCACGGGUGCGUAACGCGUGGGAACCUGCCCUUAGGUUCGGAAUAACUCCCCGAAAGGGGUGCUCAUACCGGAUAAUGUCUUCGGACCAAAGAUUUAUCGCCUUUGGAUGGGCCCGCGUUGGAUUAGCUAGUUGGUAGGGUAAAAGCCUACCAAGGCGACGAUCCAUAGCUGGUCUGAGAGGAUGAUCAGCCACACUGGGACUGAGACACGGCCCAGAAUCCUACGGGAGGCAGGAGUGGGGAAUAUUGGACAAUGGGGGAAAGGCUGAUCCAGCAAUGCCGCGUGAGUGAUGAAGGCCGUAGGGUUGUAAAGCUCUUUUACCCGGGAUGAUAAUGACAGUACCGGGAGAAUAAGCACCGGCUAACUCCGUG